AUUGAACGCUGGCGGCAUGCCUUACACAUGCAAGUCGAACGGCAGCACGGGAGCAAUCCUGGUGGCGAGUGGCGAACGGGUGAGUAAUGCAUCGGAACGUGCCAUUGAGUGGGGGAUAACGUAGCGAAAGUUACGCUAAUACCGCAUAUUCUGUGCGCAGGAAAGCAGGGGAUCGCAAGACCUUGCGCUCUUUGAGCGGCCGAUGUCAGAUUAGCUAGUUGGUGGGGUAAAGGCUCACCAAGGCGACGAUCUGUAGCGGGUCUGAGAGGAUGAUCCGCCACACUGGGACUGAGACACGGCCCAGACUCCUACGGGAGGCAGCAGUGGGGAAUUUUGGACAAUGGGGGAAACCCUGAUCCAGCAAUGCCGCGUGUGUGACGAAGG
rnacentral:rRNA from 1 species